UACAGAGGUCUCAAGCGUUGUUCGGAUUCAUUGGGCGUAAAGGGUGCGUAGGCGGCGCGGUAAGUCGGGUGUGAAAUCUCGGAGCUUAACUCCGAAACUGCAUUCGAUACUGCCGUGCUUGAGGACUGGAAAGGAGACUGGAAUUUACGGUGUAGCGGUGAAAUGCGUAGAUAUCGUAAGGAAGACCAGUGGCGAAGGCGGGCCUCUGGACAGUUCCUGACGCUGAGGCACGAAGGUCAGGGGAGCAAACGGG
rnacentral:rRNA from 1 species